rnacentral:rRNA from 1 species
UACGUAGGGUGCGAGCGUUAAUCGGAAUUACUGGGCGUAAAGCGUGCGCAGGCGGUUUUGUAAGGCAGAUGUGAAAUCCCCGGGCUUAACCUGGGAACUGCAUUUGUGACUGCAAGACUAGAGUGUGUCAGAGGGGGGUGGAAUUCCACGUGUAGCAGUGAAAUGCGUAGAGAUGUGGAGGAACACCGAUGGCGAAGGCAGCCCCCUGGGAUAACACUGACGCUCAGGCACGAAAGCGUGGGGAGCAAACAGG